AUGAUGGAGAGUUUGAUCCUGGCUCAGGACGAACGCUGGCGGCGUGGUUUAGGCAUGCAAGUCGAACGGUAUAUACGCUUU
rnacentral:rRNA from 1 species